AUAAUGAAAUGACAUACCUCCAA
rnacentral:siRNA from 1 species